CCGAUUUUAUAUCUGCGUUCUUUCAACUUCAUUAUUCACUCUCUCGUGCUUCCAAGAGCAGAAGGAGCGUUAUUCACUCUCUGGUGCGUGCAGGAGCAAGGACGAAAGGAGAACAAGUCGUAGGAGAAGCGUUGAAGAAGCAGUAGAGAAUUUACCUUGACCGGAGCACCGAGAACGAUUAGCAUUUUCCUCCGUCUUCACUUAUGCCUGCAGUCUUCACUGUCUGAGCUUUGUCAUGGUUGUCAUGGUCACGAUUAGCAUUUUCCUCCCGUCGGGCUCCCUCGCCAAGAGUAUGCUCACAGGAAGUGUGUCCAGCACUGGUGUGAUGAGAAAGGAGACAUAACUUGUGAGAUAUGUCAUCAGCCUUAUCAACCCGGCGUUGUAGGAACUAAUGUACUUGCCCUUGGUACUGAUCUUCCCAUAUUGAUUUAGAGAGCUUGCUAUUCAAAUUGCUGAGCAGUUUGAAGCUCUAGGUUCUGAAAUUGGUGUCAAGUGUGCUGUGGAAAUCAGUAUUGACUAAUCUCAUAGAACAACUAAUUAUUUCCAAGGCCAUGGGGGAAAAAUUGAACAGUCUUCAUGAUCAUAGGUAUUCUGAAUAUUAUGUUUUUAUAAUGUAACUAGCAAUCAGCUAAAGGACUUGAUUAUUACAAUGUUGAUAAGACUGAAUUCAGGCUUUGGCCAUUGCAU